GACGAGACUUGUGCAGUGUUCCAAAGAGCAAGAUAAGACCCACCAUCCCCCAAGGUGAGCUGAAUCGGCUUGACUUUGACAAAAAUGGAGGAAACCCACCACCCAUAGACAGAGAGCAGGAAACCUAUCCCCCAGCGUGAGAGUUGGAGGAGUGGGCCUCGACGAGUCUUGUGCACUGUUCCAAAGAGCAAGAUAAGACCCACCAUCCCCCAAGGUGAGCUGAAUCGGCUUGACUUUGACAAAAAUGAAGGAAACCCACCACCCCUAGACAGAGAGCAGGAAAGCCAUCCCCCAGCGUGAGAGUUGGAGGAGUGGGCCUCGACGAGUCUUGUGCACUGUUCCAAAGAGCAAGAUAAGACCCACCAUCCCCCAAGGUGAGCUGAAUCGGCUUGACUUUGACAAAAAUGGAGGAAACCCACCACCCCUAGACAGAGAGCAGGAAAGCCAUCCCCCAGCGUGAGAGUUGGAGGACUGGGCCUUGACGAGGCUUGUGCAGUGUUCCAAAGAGCAAGAUAAAACCCAGACCAGCGAAGUGUUGGAUGACCAGUGGCUCGCUUUCUCUUGAGAGUGAGGUGAA